AUCUUUUCGUGUUUCAUUAGUGUGAUGAUUGAGGGUCUUCAUGCUCAUGUGUGAGAUGUGGCCCCCUCAGACCUUGUUACAUCACAUUACCUGUCUGAUG